rnacentral:rRNA from 1 species
AAGUCGACCGCCUGGGGAGUACGGCCGCAAGGUUAAAACUCAAAUGAAUUGACGGGGGCCCGCACAAGCGGUGGAGCAUGUGGUUUAAUUCGAUGCAACGCGAAGAACCUUACCUACUCUUGACAUCCAGAGAACUUUCCAGAGAUGGAUUGGUGCCUUCGGGAACUCUGAGACAGGUGCUGCAUGGCUGUCGUCAGCUCGUGUUGUGAAAUGUUGGGUUAAGUCCCGCAACGAGCGCAACCCUUAUCCUUUGUUGCCAGCGGUUAGGCCGGGAACUCAAAGGAGACUGCCAGUGAUAAACUGGAGGAAGGUGGGGAUGACGUCAAGUCAUCAUGGCCCUUACGAGUAGGGCUACACACGUGCUACAAUGGCGCAUACAAAGAGAAGCGACCUCGCGAGAGCAAGCGGACCUCAUAAAGUGCGUCGUAGUCCGGAUUGGAGUCUGCAACUCGACUCCAUGAAGUCGGAAUCGCUAGUAAUCGUAGAUCAGAAUGCUACGGUGAAUACGUUCCCGGGCCUUGUACACACCGCCCGUCAC